GAGCAUUCCACGAUUUCUGAAUUUUCCGUCACGGACGAGGAGCUAGACCGCUCAUUCCCUGUGGGAGAAUUUAAUGGUUACUGUUAUAGUGUUGCUCAGAGCAGUAGUGUUGUGGUAUGUGAAGAACCUGAGGCGAUGCCGCCACCAAUGCCUCACAGUAGUUGUUCAGUGAGUUCAGUUACUGGCCUUCCGUUUGGGGAGUUGAGACAAAGAAAUGUAAUGGUCAAUGGAGUGAGCGAAGAGAGUGUUGGGUCACCACAGAUUGCCGAGAGAGAAAGUGAAAGUGUUAAGGAAUUGGAAUCGAGGUCAAACUCGAGAGUUGAAAUGGAUUUGAAUAUGGAUGGGAUUGCAGGAAGGAGUUUGGAGAAGGAGGUCUCUUUAGAUUGGAAGAGGUUGAUGGCUGAAGAUCCCAACCAAACAUUUCCUGUGGAUAAGUCGCCAGUGAAGUGCUUCAUGGAAGAGAUGUAUGCUGGUAAUUCGUUAAGGAGUACGGUUGCCCUUGGGAAUGAGAAAGAGCGGGAAAGAGUUUAUGAUACCAUAUUCCGCUUACCAUGGCGAUGUGAGCUGCUUAUUAAUGUUGGCGUUUUUGUCUGCUUGGAUUCAUUCCUCUCACUGCUUACUGUCAUGCCCACGAGGUUAAUCAUGAUCUGUUGGAGGUUUCUGAAAACAAGGCAGUUCAAGAAGCUUUCCGCGGUUGAGCUUUCUGAUAUUGGCUGUUGUGUUGCCCUGUCUAGUGGAGCGAUUUUGUUGCAACAAACAGAUAUCAGCCUAAUCUAUCACAUGAUUCGUGGUCAAGGAACAAUCAAGCUUUAUGUGGUUUACAAUGUGUUGGAGGUUUUUG
rnacentral:misc_RNA from 1 species